rnacentral:rRNA from 1 species
GACGAACGCUGGCGGCGUGCUUAACACAUGCAAGUCGAACGGUAAGGCCCUGCUUUUGUGGGUUGCUCGAUUGUCGAACUGGUGAGUAACACGUGUGUAACCUGCCCUUGACUUUGUGAUAACUUCAGGAAACUGGUUCUAAUACCUGAUAGGAGCUCCUGCUGCUUUGUGGGUGUUGGCAAUUUUGGGCGGUUGGGGAUUGACUCGCGGGUUAUCAGCUUGUUUGUUGGGUAGUUUCUUACCAAGUCUUUGACGGGUAGCCGGCCUGAGAGGGUGACCAGCCACAUGAGGACUGAGAUACGGCGCAGAAUCCAACGGGAGGGAACAGUGGGGAAUAUUGCACAAAGGGAGGAAGAGUGAUGCAGCAAAGACGCGGGCGGGAUGACGGCCUUCGGGUUGUAAACCGAUUUCGCAUGAGACGAAGAGAGAGUGACGGUAAUGGGUAAAGAAGCACCGGCUAACUACGUG